rnacentral:rRNA from 1 species
UGGGGAAUUUUGGACAAUGGGCGCAAGCCUGAUCCAGCCAUGCCGCGUGCGGGAAGAAGGCCUUCGGGUUGUAAACCGCUUCUGUCAGGGAAGAAAUCUUCUGAGUUAAUACCUCGGGAGGAUGACGGUACCUGAAGAAUAAGCACCGGCUAACUACGUGCCAGCAGCCGCGGUAAUACGUAGGGUGCAAGCGUUAAUCGGAAUUACUGGGCGUAAAGCGUGCGCAGGCGGUUUUGUAAGACAGAGGUGAAAUCCCCGGGCUCAACCUGGGAACUGCCUUUGUGACUGCAAGGCUUGAGUGCGGCAGAGGGGGGAUGGAAUUCCGCGUGUAGCAGUGAAAUGCGUAGGUAUGCGGAGGAACACCGAUGGCGAAGGCAAUCCCCUGGCGCUACUGACGCUCAUGCACGAAAGCGUGGGGAGCAAACAGGAUUAGAUACCCUGGUAGUCCACGCCCUAAAACGAUGUCAACUGGUUGUUGGGAAGGUUCCUUCUCAGUAACGUAGCUAACGCGUG